rnacentral:tRNA from 1 species
GCCUGGCUGGCUCAGUCAGUAGAGCAUGUAACUCUUGAUCUCAGGGUUGUAAGUUUGAGCCUCAUGCUGGGUG